GACGAACGCUGGCGGCGUGCUUAACACAUGCAAGUCGAACGGAAAGGCCCUGCUUUUGUGGGGUGCUCGAGUGGCGAACGGGUGAGUAACACGUGAGUAACCUGCCCUUGACUUUGGGAUAACUUCAGGAAACUGGGGCUAAUACCGGAUAGGAGCUCCUGCUGCAUGGUGGGGGUUGGAAAGUUUCGGCGGUUGGGGAUGGACUCGCGGCUUAUCAGCUUGUUGGUGGGGUAGUGGCUUACCAAGGCUUUGACGGGUAGCCGGCCUGAGAGGGUGACCGGCCACAUUGGGACUGAGAUACGGCCCAGACUCCUACGGGAGGCAGCAGUAGGGAAUAUUGCACAAUGGGCGGAAGCCUGAUGCAGCAACGCCGCGUGCGGGAUGACGGCCUUCGGGCUGUAAACCGCUUUCGCCUGUGACGAAGCGUGAGUGACGGUAAUGGGUAAAGAAGCACCGGCUAACUACGUG
rnacentral:rRNA from 1 species